CCGCUGUCUAGUUUUAGCAAUUAUACCGCGAAACUGCGAAUGGCUCAUUAUAUAAGUUAUCGUUUAUUUGAUAAUACUUUACUACUUGGAUAACCGUGGUAAUUCUAGAGCUAAUACAUGCUAAAAAUCCCGACUUCGGAAGGGUUGUAUUUAUUAGAUUAAAAACCAAUGCCCCUCGGGGCUCUCUGGUGAAUCAUGAUAACUAGUCGAAUCGACAGGCCUUGUGCCGGCGAUGGCUCAUUCAAAUUUCUUCCCUAUCAACUUUCGAUGUUUGGGUCUUGUCCAAACAUGGUGGCAACGGGUAACGGAGGGUUAGGGCUCGACCCCGGAGAAGGAGCCUGAGAAACGGCUACUACAUCCAAGGAAGGCAGCAGGCGCGCAAAUUACCCAAUCCCGACACGGGGAGGUAGUGACAAUAAAUACUGAUACAGGGCUCUUUUGGGUCUUGUAAUCGGAAUGAGUACAAUUUAAAUCCCUUAACGAGGAACAAUUGGAGGGCAAGUCUGGUGCCAGCAGCCGCGGUAAUUCCAGCUCCAAUAGCGUAUAUUAAAGUUGUUGUGGUUAAAAAGCUCGUAGUUGAACCUUGGGCCUGGCUGGCCGGUCCGCCUCACCGCGUGCACUGGUCCGGCCGGGCCUUUCCCUCUGCGGAACCCCCAUGCCCUUCACUGGGUGUGGCGGGGAAACAGGACUUUUACUUUGAAAAAAUUAGAGUGCUCAGGGCAGGCCUAUGCUCCAAUACAUUAGCAUGGA
rnacentral:rRNA from 1 species